rnacentral:miRNA from 12 species
CUGGAUUAUCUUUAAGACCCCUUCCAACCCAAGCCAUUCUACGUUUCUCUGAUUCUAAAGGUUAUCAUAGAAUCGCAGAAUGGCUGAGGCUGAAAAGGGACAUCUGGAUACAUUU